rnacentral:snRNA from 1 species
ACCAGAGGGUUUUCCUUCAAAACGCAUAAAUCUUUCGCCUUUUACUAAAGAUUUCCGUGGAGGGGAACACUCAAAUGCCGCACAAAUUUCUUAGGCAAAGUUUUAAUAACUUUGA